rnacentral:rRNA from 1 species
CCUACGGGUGGCAGCAGUGGGGAAUAUUGGACAAUGGGCGAAAGCCUGAUCCAGCCAUGCCGCGUGUGUGAAGAAGGCCUUCGGGUUGUAAAGCACUUUCAGUGGGGAAGAAAGCCUUGGGGCUAAUACCCUCGAGGAAGGACAUCACCCACAGAAGAAGCACCGGCUAACUCCGUGCCAGCAGCCGCGGUAAUACGGAGGGUGCGAGCGUUAAUCGGAAUUACUGGGCGUAAAGCGCGCGUAGGCGGUCUGAUAAGCCGGUUGUGAAAGCCCCGGGCUCAACUUGGGAACGGCAUCCGGAACUGUCAGGCUAGAGUGCAGGAGAGGAAGGUAGAAUUCCCGGUGUAGCGGUGAAAUGCGUAGAGAUCGGGAGGAAUACCAGUUGCGAAGGCGGCCUUCUGGACUGACACUGACGCUGAGGUGCGAAAGCGUGGGUAGCAAACAGGAUUAGAUACCCUAGUAGUC